GUGUCACUCUUGAUCCCAAAGUGCUUCAUAAAAAAGAGGGUAGCGGGUUUUAGGUAUCGCUGUUUGGAAAGGUAAACAGUUUUGUACCGUGAGUUUUGUACCGUGAGGCUUGACCAGCCCCAGCGGCUGUUCUUGAAUGAGGCCAUGAGGGAGUGAAGUCACCAUUAUUAUCCUCAUCACAGCAGAUAAGUGGACUGAAAGCCUCACUGGCACAGACUAGAGAGAGAUACACUUCAAUCAAUGGACAAUAACAUGGAGUGUCAGAGUGUGUGCUGUGCACAUUGCAGCAUGGUCACCUCUGAGACGGGUCACAUGGUGGUACAUUACAUUUUCUAACAGCUGUUGGUGUCUUGUAAUACUCUGAGCCAUGUCCUUAUGUGGUACAUAGUGUGUCUUCCUGUUUUGUGUAUAUUUUUUUGGCUCUUUGCUGGAAAUAUCCAACAAGGUCUCUCAGGCUGACUGAAAACUUCAUGCAUUUUUUUCAAAACAAAUUUUGCUGUCAAGCCUCAAAUUAUAAUUUGACAACUGGUCUGCUGUCUAACAAUGGACAUUAUAGUUACAUAAUUGUGUGGCGUCAGGAGGCUGCUCCCUGGAUAUUUUCUCUAAUUCAGGAACAUUCUCUUUAAAACCAAGGGUUUUGUGUGAAAAUCCCAGUUUAUUAAAUAUUCGGACCAGCCCAUCUGGCAACAAGAACCAUGCCACAAUUUCACAUUAUUUCCCCAUUCUGAUUCUUGGUUUUAACUUCAGAAGGUCAUAUUGCCCUGGUCUGCAUUCCUUGAUGCAUUCAGUCAAUGCCAUGUGACUGGCAAAUUAGAUAUUUAUGUUACCAAGCAGCUGACCUUAACAAGUGUAAAUUUCCACAUUUCGAGAGUCAGCCAGCGAAAAUAAUUGUGAUAAAACAGAGAUUUCAACUCAGAGAUAAAUAACUGUAAAUAUGUAAAUAAGCAUGGACAAGUACUGUAUUUUGUUAAUUGUGUCCCUUGUCUGUUUGGUACGUGUACAAAUAAAAUGGAAAAAAUA